rnacentral:rRNA from 1 species
GACGAACGCUGGCGGCGUGCUUAACACAUGCAAGUCGAACGGAAAGGCCCUGCUUUUGGGGUGUUCUCGAAUGGCGAACGGGUGAGUAACACGUGAGUAACCUGCCCUUGACUUUGGGAUAACUUCAGGAAACUGGGGCUAAUACCGGAUAGGAGCUCCUGCUGCAUGGUGGGGGUUGGAAAGUUUCGGCGGUUGGGGAUGGACUCGCGGCUUAUCAGCUUGUUUGUGGGGUAGUGGCUUACCAAGGCUUUGACGGGUAGCCGGCCUGAGAGGGUGACCGGCGACAUUGGGACUGAGAUACGGACCAGAAGCCUACGGGAGGCAGCAGUGGGGAAUAUUGCACAAUGGGCGGAAGCCUGAUGCAGCAACGCCGCGUGCGGGAUGACGGCCUUCGGGUUGUAAACCGCUUUCGCCUGUGACGAAGCGUGAGUGACGGUAAUGGGUAAAGAAGCACCGGCUAACUACGUG